AGCUGGGGACUGUGAUCAGAAUCAAUCCUAUCACAAUACCACACAGGGGACAUAGUGGAGGAAGUGGGGAAUAAAAGAAGAAUUGUGGAGUGACAGCUCCAUCUUUCUCUCUCUCUCUCUCUCUCUCUCUCUCUCUCUCUCACUGUGCCUCAAGAUGAAUCUGCCAGCAUGUGCCCAUGCUCUUCAUCACUGUCAGGUGCCCCAUGGUGGUCCUCCUCCUCUUUCUCAAACUGGGCACCAACCGCUGGCUGGAAUUAUUCCUCACCUCCAAAACUCUCCCCACUGUUUCUAAAUAAAUGUGGCUGUAGUAACCGAGGAGUGUUGCUCAUCCAUCUUUACUGUG